rnacentral:rRNA from 1 species
AGAGUUUGAUCAUGGCUCAGAACGAACGCUGGCGGCAGGCCUAACACAUGCAAGUCGAGCGAAGUCUUCGGACUUAGCGGCGGACGGGUGAGUAACGCGUGGGAACGUACCCUUUGGUACGGAAUAGCCCCGGGAAACUGGGAGUAAUACCGUAUGGUGUCUUCGGACUAAAGAUUUAUCGCCAAAGGAUCGGCCCGCGUUGGAUUAGGUAGUUGGUGGGGUAAUGGCCUACCAAGCCGACGAUCCAUAGCUGGUUUGAGAGGAUGAUCAGCCACACUGGGACUGAGACACGGCCCAGACUCCAACGGGAGGCAGCAGUGGGGAAUCUUAGACAAUGGGCGCAAGCCUGAUCUAGCCAUGCCGCGUGAGUGAUGAAGGCCCUAGGGUUGUAAAGCUCUUUCAGCUGGGAAGAUAAUGACGGUACCAGCAGAAGAAGCCCCGGCUAACUCCGUGCCAGCAGCCGCGGUAAUA